rnacentral:tRNA from 1 species
UCCCUAGUGGUCCAGUGGUUAAGACUCUGCACUUCCAAUGUAAUAGGUGUGGGUUCAAUCCCUGGUUGGGGAA